AAUGAACGCUGGCGGCGCGCCUAAUACAUGCAAGUCGAGCGAGAAGACGUAGCAAUACGUUUGUAAAGCGGCGAACGGGUGAGGAAUACAUGGGUAACCUACCCUCGAGUGGGGAAUAACUAGCCGAAAGGUUAGCUAAUACCGCGUACGCUCCUUGGACUUCGGUUCAGGGAGGAAAGCGAUACCGUGGGUAUCGCGCUCUUGGUUGGGCUCAUGUCCUAUCAGCUUGUUGGUGAGGUAACGGCUCACCAAGGCUUCGACGGGUAGCUGGUCUGAGAGGACGAUCAGCCACACUGGCACUGCGACACGGGCCAGACUCCUACGGGAGGCAGCAGUAAGGAAUAUUGCGCAAUGGGCGAAAGCCUGACGCAGCGACGCCGCGGUGGGGGA
rnacentral:rRNA from 1 species